GGAAUCGGAAUCGGAGCAGCGAUGGCGAUGGUCGUUCUUUUUCUCUGGAUCAUAAAGAGAAAGCGUUGGAGAAGAGUAGAAGAUACGGAAAAGGAUAUGACGGAACUGGGAGGUGCUUGUUUGGAAUCUUCAUCUGGUUCGAGCUUGGUUCUCCUAUUUCAAAAUAAGAACAACGACGAGGAACUCACCAUAGACGACAUAAUGAAAUCGACAAACAACUUCGAUCAAGCCAACAUAAUCGGAUGCGGUGGAUUCGGUCUGGUAUACAAGGCUACACUUCCAGAUGGGAGAAACGUCGCCAUCAAACGUCUUAACGGCGAAUACGGUCAGAUGGAUAGAGAAUUCAGAUGGAUUAAACGACUUGGUCGGAGAUAAGAAGAAAAAUGUAGCUUCGCAUACCCGACGACGAAGAAGGAAUGCCUGAAAUUGCAUUUCCCCCAUUUCUAAUAGUAGAAAAUGAGGACGGCAGAAAAUGGGUUUGCCGUUCCCCGAGAGGACGGCGGAGGAGACGAGUGAUGGGCGCCGCGCAGUACAGAGGUGGUCUGGCAGUAGGUGGUCUGGCAGAGGUCGAGGUAUGACAGUAGCAAAUGGAUGUGUGCCGGUGUGGUACGGAGGUGGUCUGGAAGAUGGAUUGAAUUUAACGGCAGAUGGAUCAAAUUGAACGGCAGAUGGUCGGGGCCGUUGGAGGUGAAGGAGACGCGCGGGCCGUUCAGGAAGUUUGUUGUAUA
rnacentral:lncRNA from 1 species